ensembl:lncRNA
CGAGUUUUUUGCUGGUUUACCGCGACUGACGACUUGUUUAAUUAAGCUAGAUUCACCCUGGAGAGAAACUAGUGAGGGAGACCAUCAGGACCAAGCUGGGUUUCUGGGUCCAGAGGUUUGGAGAAACUUCUUCCCUUUCUUUCAUCACAGCUGUCCUGUGCCAGAAGUUCUGUUGACCCACUCAAAAAAAGCAUCAUUUAAGAAACACCAGGAACACUGAAGCUCAUCGCAUUAAUCAAGCAGGACUCAUGAUCUUCACCAGCAGCUCCCUCACAGGGAAAUCUUCAGCACUCCUCCGUAGGCCCGCCCCAGGAGAUGGAUAAACCCAGCAUUUCAUCAACACUGUGAUGGAGACCUUUGGUUUGUGUAAUGUUAUAAAUACUUGGAUACUCCCCAGAGGCUCUGGACUUUUACAUAAAGAUAUUAUAUUCAGUCCUGUAGAAAGUUGUAUAUUUAAAAAUAUAUGAUCCUCUGUGGUUACUCUGGUAUGAAUAACUUUGCAUCACUUUAUGGUAAAUAACACACUAUCUGCAAAAAACUGAAAGAAUUCCAGAUCACAAGUUUGUAGUUCAACGUACAAGUGACGACCUUUGACCUUCAUCAGGUUUUAUUUAAUUGUGUUAGAGAAACUCAAACGUGCUCUUCAUGCAGCUGAGUACAUCAAGUGUUUAAAACGGAAGCUGUGCUGGUCUGAGAUCAGCAGCUUUGUGAAACGCCAAACUGAGGUCCUGUUAAUGCUGAAAUAUAGUGACACAGUUACAUGGGUGAUUAAUCCUUUUGUUUUUUUGCCUUUAACUUUAUCAAUAAAACAGCUGCAGCUUUCACUACAGCACAUGUGGUACUUUAACCUUUGUACAGUUUUCAUCAGUUCAUUUUGCAGUUAACAUGUGAACAUGUUGGAUGAUCUGUCUGCUGUCACUGGGUGGUGCUGAGGUCUGAAUCUGAGGGCAGCUCCUGUAAUCACAAAGAGAACAGAACCAUCAAACUCAAAUAUAAAUUUUAUCCCUCAAAAUUGAAAUAAAGCUGAUUCUUCUGUCCUCACACACUCAGGAUCUGAAGUUCUUCUCUUACAUUUUUUUCAGUAUUACAGUACACUA